UCGAGAAUCUUCCGCAAUGGGCGAAAGCCUGACGGAGCGACGUCGCGUGGUUGAUGAAGUCUCUAGGGAUGUAAAAACCUUUUAUGAGGGAGAAAGUUAUUGAUAGUACCUCAUGAAUAAGGGGUUGCUAAACUCGUGCCAGCAGCAGCGGUAAUACGAGUGCCCCAAGCGUUAUCCGGAAUUAUUGGGCGUAAAGGGUGUGUAGGUGGUUUUGUUAGUCUUUUGUUAAAUUCUUCGGCUUAACCGGGGGCCUGCAAAAGAAACGGCGAAACUAGAGGAUGCGAGAGGUGUGCGGAACUCAUGGUGUAGGGGUGAAAUCCGUUGAUAUCAUGGGGAACACCGAAAGCGAAGGCAGCACACUGGCGCACUCCUGACACUGAAACACGAAAGCGUGGGUAGCGAAUGGGAUUAGAUACCCCUGUAGUCC
rnacentral:rRNA from 1 species